rnacentral:tRNA from 1 species
GGGGUUGUGGCUCAGUGGUAGAGUGCCUGCCUAGCAUGCAUGAGGCACUGGGUUCAAUCCUCAGCACCACUU